UACGGGGGGGGGCAAGCGUUGUUCGGAAUUACUGGGGCGUAAAGGGCUCGUAGGCGGCCAACUAAGUCAUACGUGAAAAUCCCCUCGGCUUAACCGGGGGAACUGCGUCUGAUACUGGAUGGCUUGAGUUCGGGGAGAGGGGAUGCGGAAUUCCAGGUGUAGCGGUGAAAUGCGUAGAUAUCUGGAGGAACACCGGUGGCGAAGGCGGCAUCCUGGACCGAUACUGACGCUGAGGAGCGAAAGCCAGGGGGAGCAAACGGGG
rnacentral:rRNA from 1 species